GUCACACAGACCUUUGAUCUGAGUCCUGAUAAAAAGCAAUAUAGCAGUAUUAUGGAAAUAAAGAACCAAGUGUCACUCCUAGCCCACCAGUACUGGGCAGACAUGUCUGCUACACUUAGAGGCUAUCUCCCCAUGGACCACUAUGGAUCAUCGUGGAAGAUGCUCAUACAGAAAUGCUGAAGCAACGCUGUGAAGGACGGGUUCGAGUGAGUCAGGCAUAUGGAAGGCCGACGAUUCCUUGAGGUUCAGCGAAGAUCAUGAACACAGACCCAGGAAAGGAGGUAGGUUGAAACACCUGGAAAAUACAAGUAAACCUGCUGCUGGAGCUAAGAUUCGAACCUCAAAAGUGGUAGGAAAUGAGGGCUGGAGACACACAAGUUUCUUGAAUGGUGCACUAAACUAAUACGCUAUUACCAUCUCAGGGAUACUAGCAGGGAAAUAAAGUUUAUGAGGUGACCAUAAAAUUAGCCUCCAAAGCAUGGCACUGUGACAAAUGAAAACAGAAAUCAUCUCAUCCCACCAGGACAUCUGGUCACCCUACACAUAUGAGGGUCAGCUAAAGCUAUCUGCAACUAUGUAGGGAAUGUCUGGAAGACAAGGGAGAUGUCACAAAACUGCUGCAGUCCAUUGGAGAAACAGUAUGCAGGGGAAGCAAAAGUGACAUAAGAAGCAUGUGAAGUGGACAGGGUGUGUGUAUUUCUGGGUGUUGUGAGCAUAAAUGAGAGAGAGAGAGCUCUGGUUCUUUGCUUGGUCCCUUGCUCAGUGAGUGAUCUGAGACAG
rnacentral:lncRNA from 1 species